AUCGAACGCUGGCGGCAGGCCUAACACAUGCAAGUCGAACGAGUGGCGGACGGGUGAGUAAUGUCUGGGAAACUGCCUGAUGGAGGGGGAUAACUACUGGAAACGGUAGCUAAUACCGCAUACCAUCGGAUGUGCCCAGAUGGGAUUAGCUAGUAGGGGGGGUAACGGAUCACCUAGGUGACGAUCCCUAGCUGGUCUGAGAGGAUGACCGGCCACCCUGGAACUGAGACACGGACCAGACUCCUACGGGAGGCAGCAGUGGGGAAUAUUGCGCAAUGGACGCAAGCCUGGUGCAGCCAUGCCGCGUGUGUGAAGAAGGCCUUCGGGUUGUAAAGUACUUUCAGCGGUGAGGCGUUACCCGCAGAAGAAGCACCGGCUAACUCCGUGCCAGCAGCCGCGGUAAUAC
rnacentral:rRNA from 1 species